UAUUGAAGGCUAUGGAAGGUUGCUUCUUCACCUUUCAAUCAUGAACUUUGCGUUUCGAUUCUUUCUGAUCUUCUCUGUCUUGUACCUCUUCUUCUGUUAGCUAGGCUAUGGAAGGUUGCUGGGAAGAUCGCGAUGGAGGUCGAGCUCGAUCGGAGUGAAGAGUUUUCGAUUCUUAAUCCGGUUUUUACAGGAUCGAAGAAAGUUUUGGAAGGUGGUUCUCCAGAGAGUGAAUGAAGAUGGUCUGGUUGUAUGUGAUUAACAAUGUUUGCAGAAUCGUUUCUUCUUCAUCUUCAUAGCUUGAAUCAUUCUGAUGUAAUGAUUGUGUUGGACAACUGUUUGCAGACGAAUGCGAUUAUGAUGGAGUUGAAGGAGAUGGUCGAAUGAGGAUGAAUAUUGAAAAGCUGCUCAGGUUGCAGAGUUCAUUUAGUUGCAUAAUUUAUUUUGAAGAUUGAAGCGUGAAUUUGGAGAGUGAAGAGUUCUGUUUGGACAAAAAAAGAAGUGAUUUUCUCCAUCUUCAAUCACAGCUUCUCUGUUGAAGUCAGUUGGGCAAAGAAAGAGUUGAUGGAAAUCAGUUUAUGAAGUCGCCAGAAACGGUUAGGUUAGCUAGAGUUAGUUUUGGUUAGUUAAAAAUUCUGUUAGAAAGUUUGUUAGGUAGUUAUUUCGAAUUGGAGAAACAUUUGUUAGUUAAUUUAUAGUUAUGUUAGUUGGUUCAAUGUUAUUUAUAUUAGUGAUGAAUGUUAGUGAAUUUAAGUUGAGUUAGGAGACUGUUAUAGACGAAAUGAGUUAGCUGUUAUUGUGUAUGCGAUGCUACUGCUAUGUGUUUGGAAUGUUGCAGGUUUUGUAGUUUGCAUGACCAUUGCUGCAAGAGGUAAAUGGUUCAUGGCUUAUGCUUCGCAAGUUGGAAGGUUUGAUUGAAAAUUAUUGAUAUGUUCAGCUUUCAAGUUUUGUGUGGUAUGCAUAUUCUAAUUUAAUCUGCAGGAGCUGCAUUAUGAUUGUGCUGCAGGGUGGCUUCAUUGCAAUGUUAGCUUAUGGAUGCAUCAACUUGCAAGUGGGUAUGGCUAGGUACCAUGGCGAGUUUAAAGUUGCGGUCAUGUGCAGAUGGCUUUGGCAGGGAGUAACACAAAUAGGGGCCAUAGGUUGGGACAGAUGGUGAUGUUUUGAAGAUGGAAGUUAAUACUUAUAGUCAUUUAGAACUUGUGUAGCUUGUUUUAUUUGAAGUGUAAUAACCAUUGAGAAUUAUGUAUUCAACAUGAACUUUAAUACCACUUCAAACAAUUUUCUCCAUAUUCAAUUUAUGCAAUAUAUGUGUUUGUAAAACUUCAUGUAUGAAAGUAAGAUGGACUAUGGAUCUAUGUAUGUUAAAUAAUGGUGGGAAUGGAUUAGUAAGUUCAAA